rnacentral:lncRNA from 1 species
GCCCUAACACAAGAGUGUGCGUGAAUAUAGGUGAUUGUGUUUCAAAAAGGAGGGAGAAGGAGGCCUGAAUGCCUCUCAGAGUGCAUUGUGUCUGGGGCUAGUAGGGUUGCCCCUUGUUCUGUGAUGUCACAAUGCCCAAACACACGCACCAAGAAGUCAUCAAAGACAGCCCAACUCACAGCCCAUGAGGGACCCUGAGUACUGCCUCUGACCUCUCUAUGGCAAGCCAAAUGGCCAUGGGAAGACCCCAUGGAGUGUCAGAAUGAUGCCGUUGAGGGCAAGGAUUUUAGACCGGUCAUGGAUUCUGCCUGUGCACUGGGCUCUACCACUUUCUAGCUAUCUGGCUACUAGCAAGUUACCUUAACAAUCUAAGUUUCAACCUCCCCAUUCGUGAAAUGGAGAUGAUGUCUUAGUCAUAGAAGUAGCAAGUCUACUGCAUAUCAACAGUGUAGCACUGAGCCUGGCUCUUUGUAAGUGUUCAAUAAGGAAACAGGCCGAGAGACGCAAGUCAAACAGCAAAGGAUGGUCUGCUGUCUGUCUGACUCCAAUGCCAAUGGUCUUUCCUCUAUAACCUAAAGCAAUAAAACCCCUGCAACAUCUA